GACCUAUCGUAUAUUGGUAAAGUUGGCUAAUCGAUUGUUAUUAUCUUUGCGGUAUGUUACGAAAGUGUAGGCUGUUCGUCUGUGAUUUGGCACCAUGUAUGAUAUGUGUGUGUAACUGUGUACCUGCUUGCUGUAGCUCUCGAGAAAAAGUAUGCAGACGAAUUCUUCAGUUAUAUAGACCACACUACGCAUAACGAAUAAUACAACAUAGUUAUAAUCCUUGGCCAUGCCAUGCCACGUCGCUGUCGAAUUUCUUCACACCGCGAUUGAAACAAUAGAAAGGACAAAAGAUGACUUCGCAGGGAGCCCAGCAGAAGUCAAUGUUUCAGCAGGUACAUAUUUUGCAAAACAGUUUAGCGCAACGAUACCUACCUAGAUACCUAAGUACAUAAUUUGUAAGUAGCGUUAUCCGAUAUGUAGAUCGAAAACAUAAACUCGUAAUUAUGGAUAAU